rnacentral:rRNA from 1 species
UACAGAGGGUCCAAGCGUUGAUCGGAAUCACUGGGCUUAAAGGGUGCGCAGGCGGAAAGACAAGUGCGUUGUGAAAUCCCAUGGCUCAACCAUGGAACUGCUUCGCAGACUGUCUUUCUUGAGCAUGACAGAGGUCGUCGGAACUCUAGGUGGAGCGGUGGAAUGCGUAGAUAUCUAGAGGAACGCCAAACGGGAAGCCA